AUGCGAAGGCACUCGGUUCUCCCCGUGACGAGAUCUGUUUUCAAUUUGCAGUCUUCACCCUCUGCAAAACGAGACAGUGCUUAUCACUGGGAAGCCCGGAGAAGACAGAUGGCUCUAGACCGAAGGAGACACUACCAGCUUCAACAGGAAAUGAAGAACAAAAGGAUAGAGAAUGACCUGGAGGAACAAAGAUACUGCAUGGGGCUCGAACCCUAUCAGCGGUAUCACUCUCCGAGCCCUGAGCGCCAAUACGUGUAUGGCGACGUGAGCCCCGAGACCUCCCACCGGACCCCGGGGGCGUACAUCACUGGAGGAUCUCCAGAAGACUUAAGAGGCGGCUACUUGUUUCCUGAACUCCCGACCCUCGGCCACUGCAUGUGCCAAUGCCAGUGUCACUACCAAGGUCAGGGCCACCAUCAGAGCAGAAGCCACGUCCCGGACGAAGAACAGGACGAGGAGCAGGACGAAGUCCAGGACUUGGGCCAGAGCAACAGUCGGGAGCGGAACCGGGACCGGGACCGGGACCGGGACCGGGACCUAUGCCAGAGCAAGAGCCAGGUCCGGGACCGGGAACAGAGCAAGAGCCAGCGCCACACCAAGAGCCUGGUCCGGGACCGGGAACUGAGCAAGAGCCAGCGCCACACCAAGAGCCUGGUCCGGGACCGGGAACUGAGCAAGAGCCAGCGCCAGAGCAAAGACCCAGGUCAGACUGGACACCAUACUGGUCACCACCAUCACAAAAUUCAUUCCUUGGCUCACCAGCAAGCUGCUCAUCACUCCCAAGAGCCCAAACACAGUAAGUGAACUCUCCUUGGAGUUGGGGGUGUGGGAGCUGGGAGUUAGACUGGGCAGAGGGGAUCGGCCCAUAGGGAAGAUCAAGUUACUCAGCUCUCUAGCCUCUGGACAGACAUGCCCAGCCUAAGUGUUUGUAUCUGCCUGUAGGGCCUGAAAGAUGAAAAAUCAUUGCUCAUCAAGCAUUUCUCAAGCAUCUACUGUGUAGACAGACAGGGAGCUCCUUGAGUGCCUUUCUUUUUAUCCCUCCUACCAAGCACAUAGUAGGAACUUACAUAUCUGUUUACUGAUUGCCAGGUGCUACGCUAAGCAAGGGAGAU
rnacentral:lncRNA from 1 species